GUACUCCAUUCUGCAGCAAAUAUACUAAAAUUGGAAUAAUACAGAGAAGAUUAGCAUGCCCCUGUGCAAGGAUGACAUGCAAAUUUGUGAAGCCAUUCAGAUUUUU
rnacentral:snRNA from 2 species